UCCCUGGUGGCUCAGAGGUUAAAGCAUCUGCCUCCAAUGCAGGAGGCCGGGGUUCGAUCCCUGGGUCGGGAA
rnacentral:tRNA from 1 species